rnacentral:rRNA from 1 species
UACGGAGGGUGCACGCGAUGUCCGGAUUUAUUGGGUUUAAAGGGAGCGUAGGCGGCCUUGUAAGUCAGUGGUGAAAUCCAGCAGCUUAACUGUUGCAGGGCCAUUGAUCCUGCAGGGCUUGAGUGCUGAUGAGGUCGGCGGAAUUGACGGUGUAGCGGUGAAAUGCAUAGAUAUCGUCAAGACCCCCGAUUGCGAAGGCAGCUUACUGGGCAGUAACUGACCCUGAGGCACGAAAGCGUGGGGAUCAAACAGG